GUAGGUACGUACCCCCGGGUCUGGGAUAGCGGCGGGAAACUGCCGGUAAUACCAGAUAAUGUCUCCGGACCAAAGGUGUGAUUCCACCUGGGGAGCGGCCUGCGGGCUAUUAGCUAGUUGGCGGGGUAACGGCCCACCAAGGCAAAGAUGGCUAUGGGGCGUGAGAGCGUGCCCCCACUCACUGGGACUGAGACACUGCCCAGACACCUACGGGUGGCUGCAGUCGAGAAUCUUCGGCAAUGGGCGAAAGCCUGACCGAGCGACGCCGCGUGCGGGAUGAAGGCCUUCGGGUUGUAAACCGCUGUCGUAGGGGAGGAAGAUCCUGUGAAGAACAGGGUUUGACCGAUCCUAGGAGGAAGGGCCGGCUAAUCUCGUGCCAGCAGCCGCGGUAAUACGAGAGGCCCAAACGUUAUUCGGAUUUACUGGGCUUAAAGAGUUCGUAGGCGGCUUGGAAAGUGGGGCGUGAAAGCCCUCGGCUCAACCGAGGAACUGCGCUCCAAACUCCCAAGCUU
rnacentral:rRNA from 1 species